CCACCAGAACGACCGAAUAAAUGCCGAAUAUUAUCGCGAAAAUAUUCUGGAGGUUGUAUUAAAGCCUUGGGCAGGCAAACAUUUUGGACGCAGACCUUAGAUAUUCCAACAGGACUCAGCGCCAUCGCACUCAGCACGCGUCACCCAAGAACGGUUACAAAAUGAGGUUUCUCGCUUCAUUUCCAGUGCACAAUGGCCACCAAAAUCUCCGGAUACCAAUCCGUUGGACUAUUGUGUCUGAAUUACUUUGGAAAGCAAGGUUGGCUCUAAAAAAUACCAAAGUGUCGAUCACCUCAAGCAAGCGUUUCGCCGGGAAUGGACCAAAAUACCGCAGAGCAACAUUCGGGAAGCGUGUGUCAGUUUCAUUGGCCGUUUGAAGGCCAUAAUUCGUGCCAGAGGUGACCACUUCGAACAAAUCUACACUCGUACAAAAUCUCCGGAUACCAAUCCGUUGGACUAUUGUGUCUGAAUUACUUUGGAAAGCAAGGUUGGCAAUAAAUAAUACCCAAGUGUCGAUCACCUCAAGCAAGCGCUUCGACGGCAAUGGGCCAGAAUACCGGAGAGCGAAAUUCGGGAAGCGUGUGUCGUGCCAAAGGUGAUCAAUUCGAACAAAUCCAAACUUAUUCUAAAAUUUGAUGCUAUUUCCGA